AUUGAACGCUGGCGGCAGGCCUAACACAUGCAAGUCGAACGAGUGGCGGACGGGUGAGUAAUGUCUGGGAAACUGCCUGAUGGAGGGGGAUAACUACUGGAAACGGUAGCUAAUACCGCAUACCAUCGGAUGUUCCCCGAUGGGAUUAGCUAGUGGGCGGGGUAAAGGCUCACCUAGGCGAAGAUCCCUAGCUGGUCUGCGAGGAUGACGAGCCACACUAGAACUGAGACACGGUCCAGACGCCUACGGGAGGCAGCAGUUGGGAAGAUUGCGCAAUGGGCGCAAGCCUGAUGCAGACAUGCCGCGUGUAUGAAGAAGGCCUUCGGGUUGUAAAGUACUUUCAGCGGGGAGGCGGUACCUGCAGAAGAAGCACCGGCUAACUCCGUGCCAGCAGCCGCGGUAAUUC
rnacentral:rRNA from 1 species